UUAAAAUCACUGACACCUCACCUUUUUGGGGACCACAGCAAGUGCAGCCAAAACUGUGGAUAUGUACGAAAUCCUACUACCUAUAUUCCAAAGAACUUACCAUAUAGGAAAUACCUCAGUGACAGUAAGCUGAAAGCGGACCUUUAUGAAACACUUUCAACUUAUGCAGACCAAGCAGAGAAGUUAUCAAAUCUAGGAAGUUCCCAGUCAAAUGAGAGCUUCAAUAACACAGUUGCUUCGAAAGCACCAAAGCGAAUGCAUUUUUCAGGAUCAGAAAGCACAUCAUUUAGAGUUGCUGCUGCUGCUGCCCAGAAAAACUUAGGAAGUCAUUACGUUUUGAAGGUAAAUUAAGCACUACUCUUGUCCCCAGGAGGACAUACAAAGAGACUUAUGAUACAACAUGACCUGAAAAGAAUGAAGGAUUAUGAGCAAAAGUCAUCAACAUCAUUCAAGAAGAGAAGGUCGGUCCUAAAAUCCAAAAAAACAAGCAGCGUUAGAAAGCAAAGAGCUUAGAGAGGGUACUACAUAUGAGUCUGGUGUGAGUUUGGCUGAGUCUUCCACAGCAGAUGAUAUCCAUGAGAUACCUUCUCCUUCCACCUUGCCCACCAUAUUAACUCUUCCAGAUGGAAAUUAUACUUUCAUCUGCUUUGAUCUGGAGACUACCGGUCUUGGUUUAUCAUCAAUUACACAAAUUGCUGCUAGCUGUGGGGAUAGAAAUUUCAACCAGUAUGUGCUGCCAACUGAAGAGAUUAGCCAGUCUGCUUCAUUGCAACAACUGGAAUAUCCUUUGAUGGUGUUGCACUUUACAAGGAAGGAGUGAGACCUGAUGCUCUACCACUAUCUGAGGCAUUUUCCAGAUUUUCUAUUUGGCUACAAGAGUACAAUAACCCAGUUUUGGUAUCUCACAAUACCAAGUCCUUUGAUUCUGUUGUUUUCAUGAACAAUGUAUCUAAAACCAGUAUAAAUUUUGAUCUCACAAUUGGAUUUGUUGACAGUUUACCACUUUUCAA